rfam:Triticum aestivum genome assembly, contig: Triticum_aestivum_CS42_TGACv1_scaffold_433156_5DL
AUAUUACUCCCACCGUUCCGAAAUACUUGUCGCGGGUAUGGAUGUAUCUAGAUGUAUUUUAAUUCUAGAUACAUCCAUUUCUGCGACGAGUAAUUUGGAACGGAGGGAGUAUGUG